rnacentral:tRNA from 1 species
GCGAAGGUGGCGGAAUUGGUAGACGCGCUAGCUUCAGGUGUUAGUGUCCUUAGGAUGUGGGGGUUCGAGUCCUUGGUAGCGCAACUGGUUUGGGACCAGUGGGUCGGAGGUUCGAAUCCUCUCUCGCC